UACCCGGAAUAAAAAAAUACAAAAUUAAUUAAUAAAUAAAUUAGGGAUCAAGAUGCAUAUAUAGCAAUGUUGACACACUAAGUCAGGCUUAUCCUAAUUUUUGUAUUGGUUGUCUUAAAAAAACUCAUUGAAAUAUAAAAAUUCAUAAUUUAUUAACAUUUUGGGUUUUAUUUCUCAAAAUUAAUUUAAAGCCUUAAAUUUUACAACAAUAACCUAUAUUCCAACAAGCAAAAACUUUAAGCCUGAUUAUUAUGGUAGGUCCAUUACAUGUUGAUAUGUCACAAUUAUAAGCUGGAAAUUGAUUUAACAUGGAUUUAUGAAUGUAUAUUAACACAAGAAGAAAAAAAGAGGAUGAUAUUUUUUUAUCACAUAUAUGUCACAUUUUAAUUUAUACAUAUAAAAGAAGAUAUGAAUGGAUACACUUAUUUCAAUUUGUUUGUGAAAACAACAUAAAAGGUACAAUUUAGGAAAGGAUCUUAAUCAACAAUUUUCUAGACCUUUUUAAUUUUUUGAGCCCUUCCUAUCCAUAGGUUCUUGGCAUUGCCUCAAUUGACUAGGUCUAGGUCGGUCCGUAAAAGAUUGCCAUAAAUAUAACUAUACAAGAGUUUCUACGUUAACUUGCUUCCAUCUCCAUCAUUGUCAAAGCAGGACAUAUUUUUUCCACUGGCUUUCUUACUCAACCCAGGUGAUUGCUUGCUUCCUCUCUCAAUCUUUCAUCAAAUUUUUUAUCAUGAUUUAUUUAUCUUAUGAUUAAAUUUGAUGAGUUUAGGUCUUUGCUUUUGUCAUCACAAUAUGGAUCUUACAUUUUGUUCUUUUAAAAAGAUUUCCUACUUAUUUGUUACUUGCCCUAUCUGUAAGAUUUUAGUAUAAAAAUUUAAAUAUUUUGGCUUCCUAUUUAAAAUUAUGAAAUAUUUUUCGUAGGUUUUGAAUUACUUGCCACACAACAAGAAAAUCAUGCUUCUUAUAUUAAAUUGACUUUUUGGAAUAAUUCUUAAAAAUGAUUGAUUGUUAUAGUCAUUGGAAUAGUGAUGUUUAGUUUUCUUCAUAAAAAAUGAUUUUUUUGUUUUUAUUUUUAAUUAUUAUUCAUUUUUCAUUUUCUUAGUGGCAUGCACCACACAUAACAAGAAAUUAACCAUGCUUGUUUUCUAUUAAUGGAUUAUUUACGAACACCUCACACACCCUAUAAAUUUGGCUCAUGAAAUGUUGUAGAGAAACCACAAAUGGCUUAAAAAACCCUUAUCUUUUAAUCUAACUUUCAAGAUUUCAGUAGCACUUAUUUUGCUUUUAUUAAUUUAGUAUGAAUAUAGCCAGCUUUAGCAUCUUGGCCAAAGUUCACAUUGAGGUCUAUAUAUAUAGAAAUAUUAUGGUUUUAAAGGUUUUAUUAGUAUUUUAAAAUUAGAUUCCAUAAUUUUUGUAUUUGCAACACAACUGAAUUUUCAAUUUAAAACUUUGAAUCUUAGUAAAAUAGACUUUAUAUCUUUUGAAUUAUAUUUGAAAAUUAAUGUGACCGAUUGCAUUCUAAUAAAAUCAAAGAACUUUUUUUUAUCCUUUGGAGAGAAUAGAUUUUUUUUUUAGUUUUGGAGUACAAAUAUAAUUCUACUUCAUAAGGUCUUUUUUGUUAAAAAGCAAGCAAACCACUACAAAGACAUUUUCAUUGAAGUAAAACUAUUUAGUUUUAUCUUGAAUUGAUUGGACUUAUUUUGUUUUUUUUUUUGGAUUGUAAUUUAAUUAAUACGAGCAUUGAGUUGCUCUUAACUAAAGUUCAGGACAAAGUUUUGUUUGAGAGAUAAUUGUUAGUGUAAGGGAGGAAGUUGGUGCAGUACCUUCGAUGUGGGACUACUUGCACCUGUUGUCGAAGGGAAGGAGGAAAAUUUUUUAGAAGAGAAGGAAGAUACAUAUUAUUUGGAUGUAACGUGCAUAAAGAAGGAAGGAGAUGUGGUGCAAAAUUCUGUUAGAAGGGAAGGACACGUGGCUCACGAUCCGCAGAGUGAGGGAGGCAAGUGUAGCACUAGGUUAAGGAGGGGGAAUAUAAGGAUGGAGGAUUACACAUUGUAGGAUUAUUCUGAGGUGAUUCUGUUGCCGGCAUACGACCGAGGAGUGUGCCGCGAUCAUCAUUCUCCCUCUACUUCAUUGCCUUAGUGUUUUUGUAGCUUAUCGUUGAUUUUUGUUCUCUGUUCAUUGUAAUAAACUACUGCUGCAUAAUUGAAUUGUUUCAUUGGUGUUUUCAUUGUGCUUCCAUGGCUGAGAACAAGCAUUUGAAGGAUUUGCAAAAAGAAAUUCGUACACAUUCAGAUGAUAUUCGCCAUCUUGGUCAAACGAUGGAUAUGCGUUACCAAGAGAAAAAUGAUAAGAUGCUUCAUAUCCAAAAUUCUAUGGGUCAAAUUCAGUUAGCGAUGAAUCUGUUAUUGCGGAAUGCUUCUCAACCUCCUGAAAGUUCUCCAAACAAUGGCUCCCCGAUGGUGCAACCAAUUAAUGCUUCUUUGCCUGUUAAAGAGAUCUCACUUGGAUUUCCUCACUUCGAUGGAACAACACCAGUGAUGGAGUGGAUCUUCAAGGCGGAAAAUUUUUUCACAUAUCAUAAUACUCCUGAUGCGUCUAGAGUGGAUAUUGCGGCAAUGCAUUUUGAUAAGGAUGUAGUGGCAUGGUUCCAGAUGUUGCAGAAAUUAUCUCUGGUGUCUACUUGGUCUGAGUUGACUCAUGCUCUAGAGUCUCAAUUCAGUCCUUCACCUUUUGAUUGUCCAAUGGUUGAGCUCUUCAAGUUUCAACAAACAGGUUCGGUAUCAGCUUAUUACCUCAAAGUUUAUGUCUCUAGCUAAUAGAUCUUUGGGAUUAAGUAAUGAGGCUCUCCUUAAUUGUUUCAUUAGUGGUUUAAAUCCUGAUAUUAUAAGAGAUGUUGUUGCUAUGUGCCCUCCUACCUUAUUGCGUGCAGUUGCUUUAGCUAAACUUUUUGAAGAAAAAUAUGGUCUUGUUUCUAUGCCAUUUCAAAAAUUCCUAUAGUCACAAAUAUUCCCAAAUUUCUUUUACCCCAGUCUCUAUUAAUGCUCAACCAAAAACACAAAUUAAAUCCAGUUUACCUUUGCUUUUACCUACUCCACUAGGGCCUCCAAUUCGGUCCAUGAAUGUAAAAAGGAUUGCUCCUGUUGAAAUGCAAUUGAGAAGGGAAAAAUGAUUGUGUUA